AAUCAACGCUGGCGGCGUGCCUCAGACAUGCAAGUCGAACGAUUAAAGCUCGUCUUCGGAGAGUGUAUAGAGUGGCGCACGGGUGAGUAACACGUAAGUAAUCUACCUUUGAGUGGGGAAUAACCCGGGGAAACCCGAGCUAAUACCGCAUAAUGCAGCGGCAUCGCAAGAUGACAGUUGUUAAAGGAGCAAUCCGCUUAAAGAGGAGCUUGCGGCAGAUUAGCUAGUUGGUAAGGUAAUGGCUUACCAAGGCUACGAUCUGUAUCCGGUCUAAGAGGACGGUCGGACACACUGACACUGAAUAACGGGUCAGACUCCUACGGGAGGCAGCAGUCGGGAAUUUUGGGCAA
rnacentral:rRNA from 1 species